AUUUUAUUGAAUCAGCGUAGGUCUGUGUGGAGAAAAAGCUUUCCUUACAUACGUGGCAGGCUUCCACACGUCUGAAGACACAGAGGCGAACAGUGGAAGUAGUGUAAGGAGAGAAAAAGGAAAAUUCAGCACAGACAACUAUGGAAUGCCAAAGGAGGUGAUGACACUGAAAGGAACCAACUCAAGACAACUAAGGCCAAAUAACAUAACCAUUAAAGAACCCUCCCACAAGAGGAGGGUGAGCAUCUUGGACCGGAAUGUACAUCCCAUCUACUUGCUAAAGUCUGAGAUACAGAAAGUUUCCAUCCGUGCCUUCAUGACCAAGCCACUUUGAAACACAUCAAAUACAAGUAAGUGUAAUUGAGCAGCUGGC
rnacentral:lncRNA from 1 species